GUCAGCUGACUAGACUUCUCAGUUUGCAGACUGAAACUAAAACUAAGUACAGUAGUUUACAGUCAAUCGAGACAGUCUGACUUUAUGCAUCCACGAGUUUUAAUUUACGCAGGCAUAAACACGGAAAAGAAAAUCGGUGGUUUCAACACCUAGAGGUCCGCUUGUGCUUAGAGCAGAGAUAAAAGGCAUCAGAAACCAGUUUGAUAUCUUCCAUAUCAACAUCACAGUGUUUCUAUCUGAGAGUUUUAUAUUAAUAUUUCAUGUAUUACUUCGUGUGCGUUUAAUGAAAGAACAGGUCACGUAGUUAAGCUUCGGAGAGGGUUAGCUUUUGCAGCUCCCCUAAACUUGAAUUUCCAAUAAGACUUUCGUCUCGUCAAUCAAAAAGUGUUCUAGACUCUUCGUUUAAUAUGAACAGGUAUCUUUACGUAACAAGAUAACUGAUUCUAUAAAAAAAAAUUUUCUACCUUGUUUACAAAACAUUAACGUAACUUAUUUCGGUUGAUGUGGAAUUCACAAGGUAAGCUUGUAUAAACAACGAAGACCACCACUGACACUGCUUGAUUUUGUAAAAUUCACCUUAUAUUAUCAUUCUGUAUACGCAAAAGUCUCUUGGGCGGUUUGUCUCAGGGAAGAUCACCAACUAGAUUUUGUAGAAAUUUAUCCUCUCCCAACUAUUAUCUUCUUCAUUAAUUCAAUAUUUCUCACAGAACACAAUACAUUUCUUCGCUUUUAAAAUGAUUAAUUCACAGAAUUAAGUAAUUACAAGGAGAUCUCACUCAAUUUUCCCUUGACACCUCAUGGUCGUGUAUGGUUUUUUCUUCCUUAAAUCGCUGCUAAUUCGACGUUUCUCAUAUGCCACUGCAAAUCAAUAUAUACGAUAAACUCAAAAGAACUAUACUUUCAAAAUAAUACAGGCAAAAAAGUGUCGUACUUAGAACUUCACACCUACACUAGUCGAUAGAAAACCUCUCAAAAUUUUGUUCACACGUCACGGUUUGUACUCCGCGAGUCACAUGGCAGAUGUCGAGACGAUGAUCGAACGGGACGAAAAUUUUGUCUUUUAUGUAGCCGCAAAAGAAGAAGUCGCACUGAGUUAAGUCUGGCGAUCUCGGUGGCCAUCUACACCACACGACGUCACCGUCUCCUGCAUGACCGAACAAUAUCCAUCUCCGUAGAAGGUACGCGUUCAUGAGGUUCCAAACAGCCACGUGGAACUGAGGCGGUGCCCCAUCUUUAUGGAAGAAAAGUCGUUAGAAUGCUCUUUCAAUUGGGGCAGAAACCAUGAGUCCGUCCAAAAUGGUAAAAAGAGUAGCAAAAGCAGGCGACCUCGAGUGAAUGCCAAAGCCAUGACAGCUGUUGCAAAGAUGAAUGGUCAGAAUCUUAAGUGGCGCCACGGGUCUGAGGCGCGGUCACUAUGAAACACGUUUUCUUUUAUGAGCAAAUGAUCAGGUUUUCCUGGUACUGUUCCUCUCGAACUGAAGCUAAAACUACACCACUCAGAUUUCAAGUAUCUGAUUGUAACACUUUCCUUAUAAUGUGUGAUGUUCUUGGUAUGGCUGUUUUUUGUAGAGAAUCUAUUGAAUACUUUCCUGGUAUUGUCCCCCCCCCCUCCCCACACGCACUCACACAUAUAAUAUCUUUUUUAUUGUUACCACAGGAGUGAGGUUAUGUCUCUGUGGAAAUAUGCGUGAACAUGGGUCUCGGCGGUGAGAAGCUAGCGACUAAUCGACUAAGCCAAUGUUAUCAAGCUUUAAAGAAGUGAUAGUGUUAAACUAAACACCAUAGUGUUUGCUUUCUAAUUUAAUAAGAGCGGAAACGUACACUCCAACAGAGUCUAAAAUUUACAUAUGUUUUCAAAAUGUAUAUGCGUAGAUAUAACACUUCACAGAAUAAUUAACUGUGUAUCCUUGAACUUCAUUAAUAAGAUUUCGCAUCAGUGUAUGUCAGACUCUUGUAAUUUAUAGUGUUAUUUAUAUGUUUGUAAUCAUCUUUUAACUUAAACCUAAAUAUAGACCUAAGAUCAUCCUA